UCCAACUCUUUGUCUCUCUUUGUAAUCUAGCGUGUUUGUUUCAUGCCUAGUUGCUGAAUUUCUGUGUUGAUUUAUUCUGAAUUUCUGUGUUGAUUUCGAUCGUUCUUUAAUCUGUGUUGUUGAUUUAUUAAGUGAUUCAUCUUGUUUUUGCUAAUUUAAAGUUAUACAGAUAGAUAGAGACAUGAUUUUGGUGAUUGAUCUUGUUUUUGCUAAUUUGUUAGCUUAUUUCUGGUGUUUUACCAGAUUCUAUGAAUGAAUAUUAAUCAUAGAAUAUUAAUCAAAAAUUGAUGAAUGAAUAUUCUUAAAUAACCAUGACAAGUAGUGAACUGCAGUUCAAAUUUCCUUUCAAAAUCUUCCCCAAAACACAUCGGCACAAUCUCCAUAAUUCUUUAUGAUAACUUUGUCAUUUGGCUUUCGUACUCUCUCAGUAUCUCACUAGCAAAAAGCAAGUACAUACAUAAAUAAUGAACACAAGUUCAGUAGAAGUGAAAGAAAAAUUUUUGGGUGGGUAGGUGAGAAAAUAUUGAAAGGUAAACAUAAAAAACAAAAUCAUGUUAUUCUGCUUCAUUUCAAAUGUGAAGUCAGCAUUGACAUAUAUGCAUAAAGGCAGGAACAAUGCUUGAAAUCUAGGAACUCUAAGAAAAGAUCAAGUUUCAGAAUUCAUUUUGACUUGAAAGUAUGAAACAAACAUACAUACAGAUAUGAACCUCGUGACAAGGUUUAUAUAUUUCUUAAUAUUUGAACUACAUUACAAAUUUAAAGAGAGGUCUUUUCAGAACUAUCCAAAUUUGAGUUCCUAUGUUGACUCCUUUGACUAAGCAAUCUCUGGAUGAUACUUAUUUGUUUAUUACUUGUUCAUUCAUUUUCUUUGAUUGAUCAGUAACACAAGUUCACUGAUAUUAAUAUACUAGAAUUGAAUUUCUUCCCUUUGCUACCCAAAUACCAUCCAAAUGUUCUCAUCUUAGACAGAUGACCAGAAAUUGUGUUUGAAGAUGAACUAAAGAAAGAUGACCUUCAAUACUAGAACAUAACCACUUUCCAGGUGCCUCCAGAAAAGGUCCCACAAUUCCUUGGGUGGAGGAAGGCCCUGCGGAGUUAAGUCUACGGCAAGUAGUUUCUUUUUCCAGUGUAAUGCCAUCACUUCAAGACCAAACAUCUAAACACCCCAACAUCCUAAUAUU